AAGACCUUGCGCUUUUGGAGCGGCCGAMGUCUGAUUAGCUUGUUGGUGAGGUAAAAGCUUACCAAGGCUUCGAUCAGUAGCUGGUCUGAGAGGACGGCCAGCCACACUGGGACUGAGACACGGCCCAGACUCCUACGGGAGGCAGCAGUGGGGAAUUUUGGACAAUGGGGGCAACCCUGAUCCAGCCAUGCCGCGUGAGUGAAGAAGGCCUUCGGGUUGUAAAGCUCUUUCAGCCGGAACGAAACGGUUACGGUUAAUACCCGUGACUACUGACGGUACCGGAAGAAGAAGCACCGGCUAACUACGUGCCAGCAGCCGCGGUAAUACGUAGGGUGCAAGCGUUAAUCGGAAUUACUGGGUGUAAAGCGUGCGCAGGUGGUUUUGUAAGUCAGAUGUGAAAUCCCCGGGCUUAACCUGGGAACU
rnacentral:rRNA from 1 species